rnacentral:rRNA from 1 species
AUUGAACGCUGGCGGCAUGCUUUACACAUGCAAGUCGAACGGCAGCGAGGAGAAGCUUGCUUCUCUGUCGGCGAGUGGCGAACGGGUGAGUAUAGCAUCGGAACGUGCCAAGUAGUGGGGGAUAACCAAACGAAAGUUUGGCUAAUACCGCGUAAGCUCUAAGGAGGAAAGUAGGGGACCUAAAUAAGGCCUUACGCUAUUUGAUCGGCCGAUGUCGGAUUAGCUAGUUGGUGGGGUAAUGGUUCACCAAGGCAAUGAUCCGUAGCGGGUCUGAGAGGACGAUCCGCCACACUGGGACUGAGACACGGCCCAGACUCCUACGGGAGGCAGCAGUGGGGAAUUUUGGACAAUGGGGGAAACCCUGAUCCAGCCAUGCCGCGUGUAUGAAGAAGGCCUUAGGGUUGUAAAGUACUUUUGUUAGGGAAGAAAAGCUAGUUUUUAAUAAAAAUUAGUGAUGACGGUACCUAAAGAAUAAGCACCGGCUAACUACGUG